rnacentral:rRNA from 1 species
GUGGGGAAUAUUGGACAAUGGGCGAAAGCCUGAUCCAGCAAUGCCGCGUGAGUGAUGAAGGCCCUAGGGUUGUAAAGCUCUUUCAGUGGGGACGAUAAUGACGGUACCCACAGAAGAAGCCCCGGCUAACUUCGUGCCAGCAGCCGCGGUAAUACGAAGGGGGCUAGCGUUGUUCGGAUUUACUGGGCGUAAAGCGCACGUAGGCGGAUCGUUAAGUCGAGGGUGAAAUCCUGGAGCUCAACUCCAGAACUGCCUUCGAUACUGGCGAUCUUGAGUCCGGAAGAGGUGAGUGGAACUCCUAGUGUAGAGGUGGAAUUCGUAGAUAUUAGGAAGAACACCAGUGGCGAAGGCGGCUCACUGGUCCGGUACUGACGCUGAGGUGCGAAAGCGUGGGGAGCAAACAGGAUUAGAUACCCGUGUAGUCC